rfam:Schistosoma haematobium scaffold839_8, whole genome shotgun sequence.
AUUCAACUGAUGAGUCCCAAAUACGGCGAAACUCGUAUCCUGAAU